CCAUAACCUCACAAUGUUGAGGUUCAUUGACUAGAAGGUUGGUGCAGGGGAGAGUGUGUUGUGGACUCAACAACAAAUCGAGAGAGGUUUCACAGCUAUUGAGAACCUGAUACAACUAAAAGGAUGCGCCGGGAAGUAUGCAACAGGAGAUGAAGUCCAAUUGCAGCUUCAAAAUCAAGUCCGACUUCCAAGAAGAGCAAGGAUGACGAUGAUUCUGAUGAGGACGAGACAGAUGAAACCAAUUGCCUUUUAAUGGUCUAUGUUAUCAUUCAAAAUUGUCUUAUGUUGACACUAUGUAUAUAUGCUAUUCACAAUAA